CCUACGGGUGGCUGCAGUGGGGAAUAUUGGACAAUGGGGGGAACCCUGAUCCAGCCAUGCCGCGUGUGUGAAGAAGGCCCUCGGGUUGUAAAGCACUUUCAGUGAGGAAGAACGCCUGGUGGUUAAUACCCAUCAGGAAAGACAUCACUCACAGAAGAAGCACCGGCUAACUCCGUGCCAGCAGCCGCGGUAAUACGGAGGGUGCGAGCGUUAAUCGGAAUUACUGGGCGUAAAGCGCGCGUAGGUGGCUUGAUAAGCCGGUUGUGAAAGCCCCGGGCUCAACCUGGGAACGGCAUCCGGAACUGUCAAGCUAGAGUGCAGGAGAGGAAGGUAGAAGUCCCGGUGUAGCGGUGAAAUGCGUAGAGAUCGGGAGGAAUACCAGUGGCGAAGGCGGCCUUCUGGACUGACACUGACACUGAGGUGCGAAAGCGUGGGUAGCAAACAGGAUUAGAUACCCUUGUAGUC
rnacentral:rRNA from 1 species